rnacentral:rRNA from 1 species
UUCCUACGGGUGGCAUCAGUGGGGAAUUUUGGACAAUGGGGGCAACCCUGAUCCAGCCAUGCCGCGUGAGUGAAGAAGGCCUUCGGGUUGUAAAGCUCUUUCGGCCGGGAAGAAAUCGCAUAGGUUAAUACCCUGUGUGGAUGACGGUACCGGAAUAAGAAGCACCGGCUAACUACGUGCCAGCAGCCGCGGUAAUACGUAGGGUGCGAGCGUUAAUCGGAAUUACUGGGCGUAAAGCGUGCGCAGGCGGUUUCGGAAGACAGAGGUGAAAUCCCCGGGCUCAACCUGGGAACUGCCUUUGUGACUGCGAAGCUAGAGUACGGCAGAGGGGGGUGGAAUUCCACGUGUAGCAGUGAAAUGCGUAGAGAUGUGGAGGAACACCGAUGGCGAAGGCAGCCCCCUGGGCCGAUACUGACGCUCAUGCACGAAAGCGUGGGUAGCAAACAGGAUUAGAUACCCUGGUAGUCCCU